CCUACGGGGGGCAGCAGUGGGGAAUAUUGGGCAAUGGGCGCAAGCCUGACCCAGCAACGCCGCGUGAAGGAAGAAGGCUUUCGGGUUGUAAACUUCUUUUCUCAGGGACGAAGAAAGUGACGGUACCUGAGGAAUAAGCCACGGCUAACUACGUGCCAGCAGCCGCGGUAAUACGUAGGUGGCAAGCGUUAUCCGGAUUUACUGGGUGUAAAGGGCGUGUAGGCGGGGAAGCAAGUCAGAUGUGAAAACCACGGGCUCAACCUGUGGCCUGCAUUUGAAACUGUUGUUCUUGAGUACUGGAGAGGCAGACGGAAUUCCUAGGGUAGCGGUGAAAUGCGUAGAGAUUAGGAGGAACACCAGUGGCGAAGGCGGUCUGCUGGACAGCAACUGACGCUGAGGCGCGAAAGCGUGGGGAGCAAACAGGAUUAGAUACCCUUGUAGUC
rnacentral:rRNA from 1 species